UGCUUGGGAAUAUGCCUUGAGGUGGGGGACAACAGUUGGAAACGACUGCUAAUACCGCAUAAUGUCUACGGACCAAAGGAGGGGAUCUUCGGACCUUGCGCUAUUUGAUGAGCCUGAGUGAGAUUAGCUAGUUGGUGGGGUAAAGGCCUACCAAGGCGACGAUCUCUAGCUGGUCUGAGAGGAUGAUCAGCCACACUGGGACUGAGACACGGCCCAGACUCCUACGGGAGGCAGCAGUGGGGAAUAUUGCACAAUGGGCGAAAGCCUGAUGCAGCCAUGCCGCGUGUGUGAAGAAGGCCU
rnacentral:rRNA from 1 species